rnacentral:rRNA from 1 species
GAUGAACGCUGGCGGCGUGCCUAAUACAUGCAAGUCGAGCGAACGGACGAGAAUCUUGCUUCUCUGAUGUUAGCGGCGGACGGGUGAGUAACACGUGGAUAACCUACCUAUAAGACUGGGAUAACUUCGGGAAACCGGAGCUAAUACCGGAUUAUAUUUUGAACCGCAUGGUUCAAGAGUGAAAGACGGUUUUGCUGUCACUUAUUGAUGGAUCCGCGCUGCAUUAGCUAGUUGGUAAGGUAACGGCUUACCAAGGCAACGAUGCAUAGCGGACCUGAGAGGGUGAUCGGCCACACUGGAACUGAGACACGGUCCAGACUCCUACGGGAGGCAGCAGUAGGGAAUCUUCCGCAAUGGGCGAAAGCCUGACGGAGCGACGCCGCGUGAGUGAUGAAGGUCUUCGGAUCGUAAAACUCUGUUAUUAGGGAAGAACAUAUGUGUAAGUAACUGUGCCCAUCUUGACGGUACCUAAACAGAAAGCCCCGGCUAACUACGUG